UGUAGGCCAGCAGUUGCAGCUCCAGUUCGACCCCUAGCCUGAGAGAUUCCAUAUGCCAUGGGUUCAGCCCUAAAAAAAAAAGAAAAAGAAAGAAAGAAAGAAAGAAAGAAAGAAAGAAAGAAAGAAAGAAAGAAAGAAAGAAAGAAAGAGAAAGAAAAUAAUUGAAAAAAUUGUUACUCUUUAUUUCUGUAGACUAGGCCUACAGGUAACGGGGAAAAAAAAAAAAAAAACAGAAAACAGAAAAACCAGACCUGAUGUCAUGGAGGUCAGAGUGGAGAUGGAGGAAUGCAACAGAUGCCAACAAUGCAAUGUGUACACUCUGAUGUGGGACCUCAGUGAAGUUACAGACCCACCAUCAGAGAGCAUUAAGAGGGGAAAUGACAUUACAGACACAACCGUAUAAGAGAACAGAAAGGAGAGAUGCUAAGAGAAAAGAGACUGGUUCAGACUGCAUUGCUCCACGUGCUGACUCUUGAACCCUGGAAAUAUGGCUAAUCUUAAUCAAGACAUGCUGCACUUUUAAAAGGUCUGAUGCACAUGAGAAGGAGAGCUGCACCUGCGACAUUUGGACGCUAGGGGUUCAAUCGAAGCAGCAUCUAUGAUCUACACCACAGCUUUCGGCAAUGCCUGAUCCUUAACCCAGUGAGCAAGGCCAGCAAUUGAAACUGCAUCCUCAUGGACUCUAUGUCAGUUUCUUAACUGAAUCACGAUGGGAACUCCUGCCCUACAAUUUUCUGAGUACAUGACAUGUCUACUGUAUUUUAGCAAUCCCUAGCUUGUCUGUCCGUUUCAAUAGAAGUGGUGUCUAGGAGUUCCCUGGUGGCCUAUUGGUUAAGGAUCUGAUGUUGUCUCUGCUUCAGCUCUGGUUGCUGCUGUGGUACGGGUUCAACUCCUGGCCCAGGAACUUCUCAAUGCUGAGGGCAUGGCCAAAAAGAAAAGUGACGUCUAGUUUCAAAAGUGAUUUUGCAAUUGUGAAUCUGAUUUGCUGAGUGGUGCGGCCAGAGCUUUGUAAGGGAUACCAGAGCUGGUCAGAGGUGCUUGCUGGGUAGGCAGAACUGUGGGCCUUUGUACACACUUAAAGAUUAGGAAGUACAGGAGUUCGCAAGAUGGCUCAGUGGUAACAAACCCAACUAGUAUCCAUGAAGAUGCAGGUUCGAUCCCUGGCCUCCUUCAGUGGGUUAAGGAUCCGGCAUUGCUGUGACUUUGGUGUAGGUCACAGACUUGGCUCAGAUAUGGCUGUGGUGUGGCUGGCAGCUGCAGUGCCAAUUUGACCCUAGCCUGGGAACAUCCGUAUGCCGCAGGUGCGGCCCUAAAAAAACAAAACAAAACAAAAA
rnacentral:lncRNA from 9 species